rnacentral:rRNA from 1 species
UACGUAGGUAGCGAGCGUUGUCCGGAAUAACUGGGCGUAAAGGGAGUGUAGGUGGCAAAUUAAGUGAAAUGUGAAAGACCUCAGCUCAACUGAGGAACUGCAUUUCAUACUGGUAAGCUAGAGUGCAGGAGGGGUAUGUGGAAUUCCUAGUGUAGCGGUGGAAUGCGUAGAUAUUAGGAAGAACACCAGAGGCGAAGGCGACAUACUGGACUGUAACUGACACUGAGACUUGAAAGCGUGGGGAUCAAAC